rnacentral:lncRNA from 1 species
CGGCUGCGUUGCCUAUGAUCCAAGGCCAGGUCUGAUUCAGCACACCUGCAUAAUCUUAGCUCAUACAGCUAAGGAGACUGCCAGGUGGAGAGUGAGCUGAGAGAAAGCACGUACCCUGGAGCCAUAUAAGAUAAGAACGAUAAAGCUGCAGACAGGGCUGCACUGCAGUUUAGGAGCUGGAAUGGAGGAAACUGAAUUAUAAUUGUGUCACUUGAGGAGAUACCUCCAAUCAAAAGGCCUUGGUUCUG